GAUGAAGAACGUAGCGAAAUGCGAUAAGUAGUGUGAAUUGCAGAAUUCAGUGAAUCAUCGAAUCUUUGAACGCACAUUGCGCCCCUUGGUAUUCCAUGGGGCAUGCCUGUUCGAGCGUCAUUUGUACCUUCAAGCUCUGCUUGGUGUUGGGUGUUUGUCUCGCCUCUGCGUGUAGACUCGCCUUAAAACAAUUGGCAGCCGGUGUAUUGAUUUCGGAGCGCAGUACAUCUCGCGCUUUGCACUUAUAACGACGACGUCCAAAAGUACAUUUUUACACUCUUGACCUCGGAUCAGGUAGGGAUACCCGCUGAACUUAAGCAUAUCAAUAAGCGGAGGA
rnacentral:misc_RNA from 1 species